UACGUAGGUCGCAAGCGUUGUCCGGAAUUAUUGGGCGUAAAGAGCUCGUAGGCGGUUUGUCGCGUCUGUCGUGAAAGCCCACGGCUUAACCGUGGGUCUGCGGUGGAUACGGGCAGACUAGAGGCAGGUAGGGGAGAAUGGAAUUCCCGGUGUAGCGGUGAAAUGCGCAGAUAUCGGGAGGAACACCGGUGGCGAAGGCGGUUCUCUGGGCCUGUACUGACGCUGAGGAGCGAAAGCGUGGGGAGCGAACAGG
rnacentral:rRNA from 1 species